CCCCCCAUUGCCUUAACUGAGGAAAGUUUAUUAAAAAGAAGAGGUUUGGAGCAUGUAAUACUUUGCAUAUGAAGUGCCAGCCUUGCUCAGAUGACAUCUAAUCUCCUGUUUCUGAAGCAGGGAUGAGUCUUCACAUUGCAGAGAUGCAUGGACACUUACCUCACAGACUUACACAGAUGUGGGAGUCUCAUGCUUCGAGUCUAUUUUUUUCACCUGUGGUAUUUUUGUGACAGUCAUCUUGAAUAUGACAUGGGAUGCACCAACCCCCUCCCUUUGAUGUGCCAGCAGAAUCCGUGAAUCAGUGUAGCCCAGCUGCAGUGGCUUCACAGAGCUGGAUCCUGCCAGUUGAUGCAGUCGUGGCUCCAGCAGUAAGCACUUGGUCUGCGUGCAUGAGCAAGGAGUGGUGUGAUACCAGCCCCAUUCCAUCCCGUCCACGACUCCAGCAGCUGCUCAGGCUGGUGAGCACCACAGCUUUGAGGAGAUGAUCGGAUGAUAAGGCAGCCUAUGCUGCCAGAAGAGCCAUACCCACCCUGUUUCAAGGAAAAAGCAGCGUACCAGCCAGGGCUGCCAGCUGAACUGUGCAGUUGCAGAAGUCUCAAGGAGUCACGUUGACAGAAGGAGUAAGAGAGUCCUCCUUCCAGGGGCUCAGUAAGAAACCCUCUUUGCUCCCAUAGGAAAACACCUUCAGUGUGGUAAUUACCUUCAGUCAACUGUAUUGAUGGUACAAGACCCAGGCUACUUCUGGAGCCUUUUGGGAAAUAAUAUUCUUCAGGAGAAGCCUUACAGCUGUUGCUGGAUGUGGCAGGGAGAGAGUGAGGAGUUAAACUGAAGCAGGGGGACAAUGCAACUUCAGCAUCUGUGUUCUCCACAUGACAGAGCUGUUGUGAAAUACACCUUGGCUCUGUGUGAACCACAAUACUAGCUGCUGUUCUACUUGGGGUACUUUUAAUUUCUGGAUCUAAACCGUAACAUGUUAGUGCAGUUGGAUACCCACUGGUGUGAUGGAAAUACAGAACAAUUACUGAAAUGUUUAUGCAGGAUGAGCAGGAGUGUUCAUGAGUUCAAGGUGCUGGGCAUGGUUGUAAAUGAAAAUCUGUUUGGCAUGGCUCCUGUAUAAUUAAGAUGCCACACGUUGUCUCUCUGUGCAUGUGUCACUGUCAGCACCUCAGGAUUAUUGUGGGCAUGAUGGCAGGAGGCAACUACCUCCAUAAUUUGCUUGAUAUGAAAGCUGGACCUGAGAACUAGGAGCUCAAACUGGAGUUCAGCCAUUCAUAUGGUUUUGGAAACUUCAAAAGCAGUCGCAAAUUCCUUGAACCCUGCUCCAUUACAGCUGUGGGAGUAGUUAUGUCUGAAAAACCCUUGGAGCAGUUGGAGUAAAUGGCCCUAAACUGUACUGUUUGUGCAAUUUAAUAUCCAUUUCUACUCGAAGUAAUUCUGCAGGGAUUUCACAUAGUGUAAGAGCAGAAUAAUUUAAUUUUGCUAUGUUAAAUUCUGUUUGCUCUCCUGCAAACAGGAAAUAGUUCACAGCUUCUUGAUAACUCUGAAAUGACUGAGGUGGGAAAUUCAAGAGAAUUACAUUUUCUCUGUGUAAGCACAGGUGUAUACUCAGUGUUGAAUAUUGCUCUGCUUCAGAUGCUUGCAAAUUCUGCAGAAGUGGAAGCGUAAAAACCAGAGACAGGGUAGAUGUACACCAUGCCCUGAUGGUUAACAUAAUUCAGUCUUAAUGUCAUUCUUUGCAUAUGGUGUUUAUUCUGUGCAAACUUGGUGAAACACAGAUGACAGUUAAAUUAUUGAUCGCCCUGCCAUAGAUGAACCACUUGGGCUGUUUUCUGGUCAUGACCUUAUUUCUGUUUCUGUGACCCUGUUCUGUUUGGCCCAGGCCACCUCUGUGUGCUGUCUCAGGAUCAUCCCACAUCACACCCCUCAGUUAAAAGCUUUGGUUCUGCAGAUGCUUUCCACAAGCUCUUGUGAUGAUGCCCAAUUUCCAGAUAUGAUAGAUGGUCCUGUAACUUAGAUUGAAAACAUUGCUUUGGAAGUAAAGUAGGUACAAGAUGGAAUUUUACUUCAAUGGAGAAGAGUUGAAGUGGAAAUGUAAUCAGUUUAAAGUAAAUUGAAAGCUUUCCAAGUUUUGUCAAGUUAGAGCACACAUUAUAGGUAAGGUAGAGGCUGGCUGCUUCAUGGGAAGUGAAGUGUCUCACCCAGGAAUUAUUAUCUCGACAGAAGACCCUCUUCAAGACUAAUGGCUCCCAUUAGUGAGUGGAAAUAAAAGGUCUGGGAGUAAGGAGAGGAAAAUGGUAAGAGCAAAAGAAGGUAUGUGAAAGAGCAGUAAAGAACAAGCAAACCUAAAAUCAUGUCCUAAGAUAGCUGCACUUAGCUUACAGGCUAAUCAUUAUGAUUUGUGUUGUCGGUACAUCUUGUGAUUAUACAUUGUAAUGGGCCAGGACUCUGCUGCCUCUUUUGAAGGUCAUUACAAUGCACUUAGGUAUCUUGUGUUUGUACAACAUGAGCAUCAGCUAAGAUAGACCUGUGUGCAGUAAAGUAUGCUGAAGAUAUGCCCAGGGGUUAGGCUAUAUGGAGAUGAGCUUUUUAAAACGUGCAUUUCAUCUAAAGUAUCAGAAGCUUUCUCUGAGCUGUGGUGCUGGAGGCAGGGACCUAAUGAGGCUGCUGUAGUACAGCUCUAACAUACACAUUAGGUAGCGGUCAGAAAGACAGUCAAUCUUUCAAGGUUUAAGCAGCACUUCCUGAAAGUGCCUUCAAUUAACAGCUAAUGACAAGCUUUCUUCUGUGAUUCUCUUGUUAUCUUGUAUAGCCAGAUAAUGAGAGUGAUCACCCAGAGAGACGUCAAUUUACUUACCAUUUUUUAUUUCAUUGGGAGGCUUCCGGAUAUUUGAGCCAGCAACGUACCUGAUUUGUGCCUCCAUAAGUCAAGUGCCUGAGUUCAGCUUCAAUGUAUCAUUACUCUGAAGAUUUACAUUUCAGAUAGCGUUUUCCAGCAGCAUAGGUGUUGCAAACCUUAAAUUAAUGCACAAAACUGCUUCUACUCUGCAGAACAUGGAAGUAAUAGGUAAGGAAAACAGUAUCUCUUUCCGAUGCCUGUCUUCUUAAUGAUAAUGGCAUUUCAAAGAUCUACAAAGGGCUGUUUCAGCUAAAUAUCUUAUGUCCACUGGUAUUUGAAAAGAGAAUAAUGAACUGUAAGUGUUUCUGUGCCCACCCGCAUGUUAAUUGAAAGCUGUGAAGACAAAGAGGUAGAACCAGGCUCAAGAGACUUUUCUUACAGAAAGUUUAUGUGAACCAUCUCUCCUGCGUUUGUAUAAGCCAUCCUCAUUAAGCUAAAAGGCUUCAGUGGUAAUAAGAGGUCUUCUUAAUGCUUCCUCUUGUAUUAAUUCUGUAGGCAACUUACAAACCAGAUUGAAACCCAUCGCAGAAGAUCCCAUGCUUACGUUUUGGUGGCUUUUCUCUAGUUUCUGCUUUUCUCACACUGUGCAGAGCAGAAGAAAUAGACACAAACAUGGACCUAGCCUCCAAACUUAAAACCAAAAAGAUACCUUAGGAGGGUAGUUGUGCAUUUUUACUUGCUUUUUAAGGUCAUGUGUUGCUCUUCCCCUUUUAAUUGCAAGAUCCCUAUAUGAAUGAGACCCUCAGGGAGAAGAAAUUGUCAGGUGUGACAGAUUGGUAAAGAGGCGACUCUUUACAUUGAUCAGGGAUGUGUGACAUUGGGGAGCUCUGUCUGAAUAGCAGUAGUUUGGAUGAUAAUGAGAGUAACUUCCUGAGAAAAUUAACUGAGCAAAGAGCAUGAAGUUGUUCACAAGGCAAUUCUGGAAAAAACAUUUUGCUGGAAAAGGAAGAUGAUUGGAUGAAGAAAGAAGCCUGUAUACUGAGACCAACCUUCAAAAUGUUUGGGGAACAGCCUGACCUGUGAGACUUGUGAUUUGUUUAUGUAAUUUUCUGCUUAAUAUCAACUGCUUGCAGGAAGGGACCACUUUUCAGGAUUGUAAUACAGCCCUGGAACUGCAGCUCCUGACCACUCUUUUUUUCCCCUGCAGUGUCGUUUGAAGUGUAAUAUUGGUACUUAUUGCCUUCUGGUGCAUACUAUCAAAUGUAUUCAGUAGAAACGCAUUUAUGAAGAUGCUCUGUCACAGGGGCCAGAACCCUGGAGGAGGACCCAGCUUUCUUGCUCUUGUAAUGAGCAGCUUCACUUCUCUGGAUCUCAGUUUACCCAAAUAUAAAAUAGGGGAUGAUUCAGACCUCUCCUGCAAAAACACUUUGAAAGGUGAAAAGGAGGGUAGAAAAGCUGAGACGCAGGGAAAAUAACUUAGUAUCACUGCAUGGAACACGAAUGAAGCCAUCUGUGCAUUGU